UACGUAGGGCGCAAGCGUUAUCCGGAAUUAUUUGGGCGUAAAGAGCUCGUAGGCGGUUUGUCGCGUCUGCCGUGAAAGUCCGGGGCUCAACUCCGGAUCUGCGGUGGGUACGGGCAGACUAGAGUGAUGUAGGGGAGACUGGAAUUCCUGGUGUAGCGGUGAAAUGCGCAGAUAUCAGGAGGAACACCGAUGGCGAAGGCAGGUCUCUGGGCAUUAACUGACGCUGAGGAGCGAAAGCAUGGGGAGCGAACAGG
rnacentral:rRNA from 1 species